CAUCUUUUAAUACGUCCUUGCAGACACUUGAUAUCCUUCAUUUUAUUCAAAGUUAAUGGCGUAUGCUUUAAAAAAGCUUGAGUGUUAAAAGAAGGUUUUAUUAAUAUAUUUUUUUCUACUUUUUUACUUGUAAUGAAGAAAAAAUUUCUCAUCUCUUUCGUUUCAAUAUAGUACCACAUCAUUUCGAAACUAAAUGGAAUCAAAUCAAGAACAUUGUCAUGACUUUGACUUUUUUAAAGGUUAAAUAUAUAGUUUUACUGUACACUUACCGUGAUAUUGUUUUCAUAAGACAAGUAUUUGGAAAGCAGUCCAAGUUCCUAUUAGAAGAACACAAUAUCAGCUGUUGAAU